rnacentral:rRNA from 1 species
AACGAACGCUGGCGGCGUGUCUUAAGCAUGCAAGUCGUGCGGCAAGGGGUAGCAAUACCCCCUAGAGCGGCGGACUGGUGAGUAACGCGUGGGUGAUCUGCCCUUGGGUUGGGGAUAGCCAUUAGAAAUAGUGGGUAAUACCGAAUACGUUCGCCGGGCUGUGGCCUGGCGAGGAAAAGCGCUUCGGCGCUGCCCGAGGAUGAGCCCGCGUCCCAGUAGCUAGUUGGUGAGGUAACGGCCCACCAAGGCGAUGAUGGGUAGCCGGCCUGAGAGGGUGUACGGCCACACUGGGACUGAGAUACGGCCCAGACUCCUACGGGAGGCAGCAGCUAAGAAUAUUCCGCAAUGGACGAAAGUCUGACGGAGCGACGCCGCGUGGACGAUGAAGGCCGAAAGGUUGUAAAGUCCUUUUGUCGGGGAAGAAUAACCAUGGGAGGGAAUGCCCGUGGGAUGACAUGGACCGACGAAUAAGCCCCGGCUAACUACGUGCCAGCAGCCGCCGUAA